UCCGGUUGAUCCUGGCGGAGGCUACUGCUAUCGGAGUCCGAUUUAACCAUGCUAGUCCACCGAGUCUUUGACUCGGGGCGGAUAGCUGAGUAACACGUGACUAACCUGCCCUAUGGAUGGAGAUAACCUCGCUAACGUGAGGCCAAUAUCCAAUAGCAGAUGAUUGCUGGAAAGCGUCGUCUGUGAAAUGUUCCGACGCCAUAGGAUGGAGUCGCGGCUGAUUAGGUUGUUGGUGAGGUAACGGCUCACCAAGCCCGUAAUCAGUAACAGCCGUGAGAGCGGGAGCUGUCAGUUGGCUUCUGAGACAAGAAGCCAGACCCUACGGGGUGCAGCAGGCACGAAACCUUCACAAUGCACGAGAGUGCGAUGGGGGGACUCCGAGUGUAAUCUUCCCACAAGGAAGGUUACUUUUCUGCACUGUAAGGAGGUGCCGGAACAAGGGGUGGGCAACACUGCUGCCAGCCGCCGCGGUAAUAGCAGGACCCCAAGUGGUAGUCGUUAUUAUUGGGCUUAAAGUGUUCGUAGCCUGCCAUGCAAGUCCGCUGUGAAAUCCACGCGCUCAACGUGUGGGCGUGCAGCGGAUACUGUAUGGCUAGGGACCGGACGGCGUUGAGGCUAUUCCCGGGGUAGGAGUGAAAUCCUAAAAUCCUGGGAGGAGCACCUGUGGCGAAAGCGCUCAACGAGUACGGAUCCGACGGUGAGGAACGAAAGCCAGGGGAGCAAAGCGGAUUAGAUACCCGCGUAGUCCUGGCCGUUAACAAUGUCCGUUUGAUGUCGGCUAACCUCCGAGGUUAGCCGGUGCCGAAGUGAAAACGUUAAACGGACCGCCUGGGAAGUACGGUCGCAAGGCUGAAACUUAAAGGAAUUGACGGGGGAGCAC
rnacentral:rRNA from 1 species